CCUGGAAAUUCCCCUUUGCACAGGAAGUGGAAAUCUCUGUUGUGAAAGCUCUGCAUUUCCUCCGGUAUCAUGAAACAUGGACCAUGCCAGGCAAGUUCCAUUCACUAUAGCAUGCUAGCAAUUUGAACUACACCUUGUGGGGGGAAGAGGAGGCAGCAGGAGAACGAGGGGCAUUGUAGCACUGCAAGGUCAAGCAGGAUGGCAUUGAUGAGGAUUGUUACCUUACUUUCUGAAAGUACAAGCCCAGAGCAAUGAAACAAACACAAGUGCCUGCUACUUGCAGAGCUAAGGGCUGGAGCAGAUACAAAGUUUGGAUGGGACAUGCUCCCUACCCUCAUAGAAUUUACUGUCUAGUACUACUCAGAAAGAACUCUAAUAUACAAUGUUACACAAUUAGGAGAGUCAGCACAAUUGAGGGGAUAAGGAACUGACUUUGGAGUUAAGAAGACCUGAAUUCAAGUCCUGCAAGCUAAGGCCACUCUCUAAGAUGCUAAUUUUCAAAGGAGGGGCUAGUUCUGCACUGGAAAAAGAAGUUUCUCACUGGAAGUUAUCCUAUACUAAGGGAACCACAGGUACAUGUGCAGGUGGAGAGGCAGAUAACCAGAUGCUUAAGAGGAGCUGCUAAAUGGGCUGGUUCUCCCAAGAAAGAAGGAAUUCAGAAGAGCAUUCAAAGGACCUGGAACUGCUGUGUAUUGAUUAGAUAGCACUGAGCCUCUUUCAGAACUUUGAUGAUUAAUUCAGGCUAUAAAAAUCUAUAUGAGAAGCCUGAGUCUGCUUGGAAGAAGCUGUAGAAGAUGACCUAUAUGUCACCCUGAGCUCCUGAAUGGCUAGGAUAUGGGUGACUUUUGGAAAUAAAGUACCAGGUCUAAAGUCAGCUUUUGGGGGCAGUAAGUAUUCCCCCUUCCCCAACAACUUGAUUACCUAUUCCCCUUUUGAAUGAUCAAAUGAUUUUUGGCUGAAGUGAAUUGCUUCAGGAGAUGUGAUCGAUAAAAUGAAAUAAUUGCUUCCCAUGUGGAGUGGUUAUUUGUACCUCCAGUCUGAAAAUUGCAAGAAAGAGGCUGUUUUUUCCUCUCUGAUUCAUGCUCUGUUGCUGUGUCUGGCAGUAUCAAAACCGAGCUUUGCCUUCCACCGUGAAAGCCAGGCCAGAGAUCAAAGCACAGGACGUGAGCUAGCUCUGAAUUAAGCUCCUGGCUUCAUUUGGUAGGGCUCAGAGUACUUGGUAGGGAAUGUUGUCCCAUCAUUGUGGAGAAAACACACACACACACACACACACACACACACACACACACACACACACACAC